AUUUAUAUAGUUUAUAAAAACCUUACAUUUUCAUUGUAAAAAUAAAGAAUUUUCUUUUAUAAAUUACUAAAUUUAAUUAUAAAUA
rnacentral:tRNA from 1 species